CAGAGGGUGCAAACGUUGUUCGGAAUUACUGGGCGUAAAGCGCGUGUAGGCGGCCCUGCAAGUCGGGUGUGAAAUCCCACGGCUCAACCGUGGAAGUGCACUCGAAACUGCAGGGCUAGAGUCCUGGAGAGGAGGGUGGAAUGCUUGGUGUAGAGGUGAAAUUCGUAGAUAUCAAGCGGAACACCGGUGGCGAAGGCGGCCUUCUGGACAGUGACUGACGCUGAGGCGCGAAAGCGUGGGGAGCAAACAGGAUUAGAUACCCUGGUAGUCCACGCCGUAAACGAUGAGUGCUAGGUGUCACGGGCUUUGACCCUCGUGGUGCCGAAGCUAACGCGUUAAGCACUCCGCCUGGGGAGUACGGCCGCAAGGCUA
rnacentral:rRNA from 1 species